ACCGUGAACCCCGUCAGGGCCGGAAGGCAGCAGCGGUAAGCGAUUCGUCCUGGGCGCCACGGGGGUGCCUGGCAGCU
rnacentral:SRP_RNA from 1 species